UUGGUUCGUUUCAUUUUACAUUGAGAUCGGAACGAAUUCCUUUCUCUAUUGUAAGUUCAACAAUCAAAAUAAAGCCCAUAAUGGGUUAGUUGAGUUUAAAAAUGCUACCAGAGGAGAGAGGGCCUCUCCAGAGGGAGCAAAUCACUCGAUUCGGUUCGCGGGACAAAAGAAAGAAUGAGGAUUUCUCCCCACUCUCCUUUUUGGUUUGAGGGUGUGGUAAUGAUCCUUCCGCAGGUUCACCUACGGAAA
rnacentral:misc_RNA from 1 species